GACGAACGCUGGCGGCGUGCUUAACACAUGCAAGUCGAACGGUAAGGCUCCAGCUUGCUGGGGUACACGAGUGGCGAACGGGUGAGUAACACGUGGGUGACCUGCCCUGCACUUCGGGAUAAGCCUGGGAAACUGGGUCUAAUACCGGAUAGGACCGCACCGUGAGGGUGUGGUGGAAAGUUUUUUCGGUGUGGGAUGGGCCCGCGGCCUAUCAGCUUGUUGGUGGGGUAAUGGCCUACCAAGGCGGCGACGGGUAGCCGGCCUGAGAGGGUGGACGGCCACAUUGGGACUGAGACGCGGCCCAGCCUCCUACGGGAGGCAGCAGUGGGGAAGAGUGCACAAUGGGCGGAAGCCUGAUGCAGCGAAGCCGCGUGGGGGAUGACGGCCUUCGGGUUGUAAACUCCUUUCACCAUCGACGAAGGGUUUCUGACGGUAGAUGGAGAAGAAGCACCGGCUAACUACGUG
rnacentral:rRNA from 1 species